rnacentral:rRNA from 1 species
AGCCUUUGGAAAGGAUUAAAGGUUAUACCUGCCCAAUGUUAUAUUAAUGGCCGCGGUACUUUGACCGUGCUAAGGUAGCACAAUCAAUUGGCCCUUAAUUAGGGUCAGGUAUGAAUGGAGUUACGGGGCUUAGCUGUCUCUAGACUAUUUAAUUGAAGUUGCUAUAUAGGUGAAAAAGCCUGUAUCAAGAAAAAAGACGAGAAGACCCUUAGAGUUUUACUUAAAAAGAGUUAUUUCUUCACUAGUUUUGUUGGGGCAACAUAGGAGAAGAACUAAACCUCCUAAAGGAUAUAAACCGAUGUUUUUAAAUGUGAAUAAACUACCUUAGGGAUAACAGCAUAAUUUUAAAAAUAAGUUUGUGACCUCGAUGUUGGACUAGGAAACUUAAGGGCUAGCCGCCUUUUGGUAAGGUUCUGUUCGAACUAUAAUUCCU